rnacentral:pre_miRNA from 1 species
UAUGUACUCCCUCCGUCCGGAAAUACUUGUCAUCAAAAUGAAUAAAAGGGGAUGUAUCUAGACGUAUUUUAGCUCUAGACACAUCUCUUUUUAUUCAUUUUGAUGACAAGUAUUUUAGUUUACAGCUGCUGUGUGUG